AAAAUAGACAAUUCUUCUUUCUUUUUAGCAAUACACCAUAUAUCUAGAGCCUCUCAUCGUCUGUAUUAUCUAAGUCAACGGAAAAUGUAGAUAAGAGUGAAGUCGUCAGAAAAUGUAGAUGGGAGUGAAGUCGUCAGAAAAUGUAGAUGGGAGUGACGAUUCAAGUGAACGAUAAGAAGAACAGGAUUGUGACAAAUUUAAACUUACUUACUCAUAAAACAUAUUUACAUUUCCAUGGAGUAGGAUUAUUAAGUCCUCACUCUGAUAUUGGCAUACCCACCAAGGGAAUGGUAAUUAAUGCCCAAGAAAAACCUAAAAAAUGACAAAAUGUUAAUGACUUUGAAUUUAUGAUUUAUGUUUGAAUGAACAAAUAGAAGGUACAUAAAAUUUGAAUGUGCAUACAUUUGAAUGUUAUUAGUAGCAUUAUAUAUUUCUUUUAAUGUUUUCAUACACAUCAGGUUUUGCUAGACUACAUUUUUCAUUUUGUCUGCUUUUAUGUAAUUAUCGACUUGCAUUGACGAUUAUGAUUCUUGUAUUAAAUUUGCAUAUCCCUAUCAUGAAAGAACGGCAAUAAUCUCUCCGUAUAGUUAAAAAAUUGUAUAGUUUAUAUCAUUUUAAGUCUUACGUUACCCACGAAGAAGUAGGAUUUAGACAAAGUGUAACACUUUUUAUACUUCAGGUCAUAAAAACAGAGACAGUUCAGAAAUUUAUCCCCAAAAUAAAAUAUAAUUAGUUACUAUUAUCAAAUAGAUAAUAAUUAGA